AAGCAUAUCAAUAAGCGGAGGAAAAGAAACCAACAGGGAUUACCUCAGUAACGGCGAGUGAAGCGGUAACAGCUCAAAUUUGAAAGCUAGCUCUUUUAGGGUUCGCAUUGUAAUUUGUAGAAGAUGCUUCGGGUGUGGCCCCGGUCUAAGUUCCUUGGAACAGGACGUCAUAGAGGGUGAGAAUCCCGUAUGUGACUGGGUGCUUUCGCUCAUGUGAAGCUCUUUCGACGAGUCGAGUUGUUUGGGAAUGCAGCUCAAAAUGGGUGGUAAAUUUCAUCUAAAGCUAAAUAUUGGCCAGAGACCGAUAGCGCACAAGUAGAGUGAUCGAAAGAUGAAAAGCACUUUGGAAAGAGAGUUAAACAGUACGUGAAAUUGUUGAAAGGGAAGCGCUUGCAACCAGACUUGCGCGCUGAUGAUCAUCCGGGCUUCUGCCCGGUGCACUCGUCUGCGCUCAGGCCAGCAUCGGUUUCGGUGGUGGGAUAAAGGCCUUGGGAAUGUAGCUCCUCUCGGGGAGUGUUAUAGCCCUCGGUGCAAUGCCGCCUACCGGGACCGAGGACCGCGCUUCGGCUAGGAUGCUGGCGUAAUGGUUGUAAGCGACCCGUCUUGAAACACGGACCAAGGAGUCUAACAUCUAUGCGAGUGUUUGGGUGUCAAACCCAUACGCGUAAUGAAAGUGAACGGAGGUGAGAACCCUUAAGGGUGCAUCAUCGACCGAUCCUGAUGUCUUCGGAUGGAUUUGAGUAAGAGCAUAGCUGUUGGGACCCGAAAGAUGGUGAACUAUGCGUGAAUAGGGUGAAGCCAAGGAAACUCUGGUGGAGGCUCGCAGCGGUUCUGACGUGCAAAUCGAUCGUCAAAUUUGCGUAUAGGGCGAAAGACUAAUCGA
rnacentral:rRNA from 1 species